GUGUGAGUGUGAGAGCAAGAACAGCCCGCAGGUCCCGAGGCGCUUGCAGGGGACUCUGCCGCGGAAAGUUCCCAGUCCCCAGCCGCAGAAGCUUUUUAUUUUUGGUUGAUUCCUGCUGUCUACUCCUCUUGGAUGCCUUUGUGAAACUGCUUCUAUCUGAGAAGGAGGAGUUGCCAUUUAGCAAGUAGUAGGUGGUACCGUGUGUGGCAGAGUCCGAUGUGUUACACCACGAGGACAUUCAUCUUUGCAAUUGGUGAAGUCCUUCUACCUAGUUCCCCUUCCUUGUGCACAGAAGAGGACUGGAAAACUCCUCACAGGACUGCAUACUGCUAUCUCUGAGAAACCAGAAAGAAGAAAGUACCUCUUCCUUCCAAGCUUCUACCUAAGAGUAUACUGGAAGGUUUACCUAGAGCAACAAGACAACGAAAUGGAUUGUCCUUCUCACGCUAGUCCACACACAAUCCUCAUCAUUUUGAUAAGAUAGCAUGAAGUCUCUUAUCGCUUGUGGAUCCAGCACUUUGGUUCAGCGUUUCUAUUCCUGCACAAACAUCAUGACCAAGAAGCAAGUUGGAGAGGAAAGAGUUUAUUCAGCUUGCACUUUCAUACUGCUGUUCAUCACCAAGGAAGUCAGGACUGGAACUCAAGCAGGUUCAUCUGCCCAUAAUUCUCUAAGAUUUGGAGCUGUUGAGGAGUGGCUCAUAGUAGACACUGAACCAUCAGCCAACAGCAUUUGUUGUCCUGGAUGUCUGUGCCAACCUUUCGAGUCACACUGGGGUCUAAAGACACACCUGGAAUAAAAAUCAGAAUGCUUAAGAAACUUAAUAUGAUCUGCGGGAGAAUACAUGAGGUUUUUGUUUCAUACCACAGUCUGAUGACAGCAUGGAUUUCAACUGAUGAUGUUCACCUUUGCCUCUUGGGUCAAUAUGUGAGCUCAGAGAUUUCCCUGCUUUUGUUCUGUCAUUAUGGAUUCUAAACUUCUGAAACUACAUACUCAAUUAAAUGUUUUCUUUUAUAAAUUA
rnacentral:lncRNA from 1 species